AACGAACGCUGGCGGCAUGCCUAACACAUGCAAGUCGAACGAGACCUUCGGGUCUAGUGGCGCACGGGUUCGUAACGCGUGGGAACCUGCCCUUAGGUUCGGAAUAACUCUCCGAAAGGGGUGCUAAUACCGGAUAAUGUCUUCGGACCAAAGAUUUAUCGCCUUUGGUUGGGCCCGCGUUGGAUUAGCUCGUUGGUAUGGUAAAAGCCUACCAAGGCGACGAUCCAUAGCUGGUCUGAGAGGAAGAUCAGCCACACUGGGACUGAGACACGGCCCAGAAUCCUACGGGAGGGAGGAGUGGGUGAUAGUGGACAAUGGGCGGAAGCAUGAAGCAGCAAUGACGCGUGAGUGAUGAAGGCAUUAGGGUAGUAAAGCUCUUUUAACCGGGAUGAUAAUGACAGUACCGGGAGAAUAAGCGCCGGCUAACUACGUG
rnacentral:rRNA from 1 species